rnacentral:tRNA from 1 species
GCCUGGUGGGCUUAGUCUGUAGAGCAUGGGACUCUCAAUCUCAGGGUCAGGAGUUCAAGUCCCAUAUAGGGUG